rnacentral:miRNA from 1 species
GGCCGCGCGGGGAGGAGGAGGGUCUGUGGGCACACUUUGGGGUCCGGGGCUCGCGGAGCCAACCAUGUCUUCUUUCCCAG